rnacentral:rRNA from 1 species
AUUGAACGCUGGCGGCAGGCUUAACACAUGCAAGUCGAGCGGGGAAAGGUAGCUUGCUACCUGACCUAGCGGCGGACGGGUGAGUAAUGCUUAGGAAUCUGCCUAUUAGUGGGGGACAACGUUCCGAAAGGAACGCUAAUACCGCAUACGUCCUACGGGGGAAAGCAGGGGAUCUUCGGACCUUGCGCUAAUAGAUGAGCCUAAGUCGGAUUAGCUAGUUGGUGGGGUAAAGGCCUACCAAGGCGACGAUCUGUAGCGGGUCUGAGAGGAUGAUCCGCCACACUGGGACUGAGACACGGCCCAGACUCCUACGGGAGGCAGCAGUGGGGAAUAUUGGACAAUGGGCGCAAGCCUGAUCCAGCCAUGCCGCGUGUGUGAAGAAGGCCUUUUGGUUGUAAAGCACUUUAAGCGAGGAGGAGGCUCCUUUAGUUAAUACCUAAAGAGAGUGGACGUUACUCGCAGAAUAAGCACCGGCUAACUCUGUGCCAGCCGCCGCUGUAAUAC